AUUGAACGAUGUCGGCCGGCCUAACACAUGCAAGUCGAGCGGAGCGGCGGACGGGUGAGUAAUACCUAUGAAUCUGCCUGGUAAUGGGGGAUAACGUCCGGAAAAGGGCGCUAAUACUGCAUACUCUCAUAUGAGCCGAGGUCGGAUUAGCAAGUUGGUGGUGUAAAGGCCUACCAAGGCGACGAUCCGUAACUGGUCUGAGAGGAUGAUCAGUAACACUGGAACUGAGACACGGUCCAGACUCCUACGGGAGGCAGCAGUGGGGAAUAUUGGACAAUGGGCGAAAGCCUGAUCCAGCCAUGCCGCGUGUGUGAAGAAGGUCUUCGGAUUGUAAAGCACUUUAAGUUGGGAGGCGUUACCAACAGAAUAAGCACCGGCUAACUUCGUGCCAGCCGCCGCGGUAAUUC
rnacentral:rRNA from 1 species